CCCAUCACGCUGCUGCAAGCUGCCCAGAGAUGGGGAUGAUGGGGUCUUCUUCUUGCCUAAGGGAAGAAGGUGCAGGAGGCUCGUCCAGCUCCACGCCCACCCACUGGCCGCUGGCAAACUCCGUGGUCCCACAGAACCGCAGUGUGCCCGUCUGGGGAGAGAAGGGAGGCGAUGGCUGAGGAAGGAAUGCUGGGAGGCCAACGUGGAGUGCUCGCACACAGGCAGCAAGAUGAAGACAUUGAGGCCCAGAGAGGCGGAAUCACUGGCUCCAGGUCCCACAGCUGGGAAGUUGCAAAGCUGAGAUUUACCUGGGCAAGUCCCUGAGCCUGAGCCCAUGACGCUGUGCUAUGCUGCUUCUCUAAGGGGCAGUGAUUGGUAUUCCGUGUCUUCAGAUAAAGAUUUUCACCUGU